AAUCCAUAGGUUAAUGAGGCGAACCGGGGGAACUGAAACAUCUAAGUACCCCGAGGAAAAGAAAUCAACCGAGAUUCCCCCAGUAGCGGCGAGCGAACGGGGAGGAGCCCAGAGCCUGAAUCAGCAUGUGUGUUAGUGGAAGCGUCUGGAAAGGCGCGCGAUACAGGGUGACAGCCCCGUACACAAAAGCGCAUGUGCUGUGAGCUCGAUGAGUAGGGCGGGACACGUGGUAUCCUGUCUGAAUAUGGGGGGACCAUCCUCCAAGGCUAAAUACUCCUGACUGACCGAUAGUGAACCAGUACCGUGAGGGAAAGGCGAAAAGAACCCCGGCGAGGGGAGUGAAAAAGAACCUGAAACCGUGUACGUACAAGCAGUGGGAGCACAGGUUUACCUGUGUGACUGCGUACCUUUUGUAUAAUGGGUCAGCGACUUAUAUUCUGUAGCAAGGUUAACCGUAUAGGGGAGCCGGAGGGAAACCGAGUCUUAAUUGGGCGUUAAGUUGCAGGGUAUAGACCCGAAACCCGGUGAUCUAGCCAUGGGCAGGUUGAAGGUUGGGUAACACUAACUGGAGGACCGAACCGACUAAUGUUGAAAAAUUAGCGGAUGACCUGUGGCUGGGGGUGAAAGGCCAAUCAAACCGGGAGAUAGCUGGUUCUCCCCGAAAGCUAUUUAGGUAGCGCCUCGUGAAUUCAUCUCCGGGGGUAGAGCACUGUUUCGGCUAGGGGGCCAUCCCGGCUUACCAACCCGAUGCAAACUGCGAAUACCGGAGAAUGUUAUCACGGGAGACACACGGCGGGUGCUAACGUCCGUCGUGAAGAGGGAAACAACCCAGACCGCCAGCUAAGGUCCCAAAGUCAUGGUUAAGUGGGAAACGAUGUGGGAAGGCCCAGACAGCCAGGAUGUUGGCUUAGAAGCAGCCAUCAUUUAAAGAAAGCGUAAUAGCUCACUGGUCGAGUCGGCCUGCGCGGAAGAUGUAACGGGGCUAAACCAU
rnacentral:rRNA from 8 species